rnacentral:rRNA from 1 species
UAACAGGAUUAGAUACCCUGGUAGUCCACGCCGUAAACGAUGUCGACUUGGAGGUUGUUCCCUUGAGGAGUGGCUUCCGGAGCUAACGCGUUAAGUCGACCGCCUGGGGAGUACGGCCGCAAGGUUAAAACUCAAAUGAAUUGACGGGGGCCCGCACAAGCGGUGGAGCAUGUGGUUUAAUUCGAUGCAACGCGAAGAACCUUACCUACUCUUGACAUCCAGAGAACUUAGCAGAGAUGCUUUGGUGCCUUCGGGAACUCUGAGACAGGUGCUGCAUGGCUGUCGUCAGCUCGUGUUGUGAAAUGUUGGGUUAAGUCCCGCAACGAGCGCAACCCUUAUCCUUUGUUGCCAGCGAUUCGGUCGGGAACUCAAAGGAGACUGCCGGUGAUAAACCGGAGGAAGGUGGGGAUGACGUCAAGUCAUCAUGGCCCUUACGAGUAGGGCUACACACGUGCUACAAUGGCGCAUACAAAGAGAAGCGACCUCGCGAGAGCAAGCGGACCUCAUAAAGUGCGUCGUAGUCCGGAUCGGAGUCUGCAACUCGACUCCGUGAAGUCGGAAUCGCUAGUAAUCGUGGAUCAGAAUGCCACGGUGAAUACGUUCCCGGGCCUUGUACACACCGCCCGUCACACCAUGGGAGUGGGUUGCAAAAGAAGUAGGUAGCUUAACCUUCGGGAGGGCGCUUACCACUUUGUGAUUCAUGACUGGGGUGAAGUCGUAACAAGGUAACCA